CCUACGUGUGGCCGCAGUGAGGAAUAUUGGUCAAUGGCCGUAAGGCUGAACCAGCCAAGUCGCGUGAAGGAAGCAGGAUCUCUGGUUUGUAAACUUCUUUUAUAGGGGAAUCAAGGUAUCCACGUGUGGUUAUUUGCAUGUACCCUAUGAAUAAGCAUCGGCUAACUCCGUGCCAGCCGCCGCGGUAAUACGGAGGAUUCGAGCUUUAUCCGGAUUUAUUGGGUUUAAAGGGUGCGUAGGUUGUUUUUUAAGUCAGCGGUGAAAGUUUGUGGAUCAACCAUAAAAUUGCAGUUGACACUGGAAGAGUUGAGUGUGUUUGAGGUAGGCGGAAUGCGUGGUGUAGCGGUGAAAUGCAUAGAUAUAACGCAGAACUCCGAUUGCGAAGGCAGCUUACUAAGCCAUAACUGACACUGAAGCACGAAAGCGUGGGGAUCAAACAGGAUUAGAUACCCUUGUAGUC
rnacentral:rRNA from 1 species